rnacentral:rRNA from 1 species
AAAGCCUAGGAAUCUGCCCGAUAGUGGGGGACAACGUUUCGAAAGGAACGCUAAUACCGCAUACGUCCUACGGGAGAAAGUGGGGGAUCUUCGGACCUCACGCUAUCGGAUGAGCCUAGGUCGGAUUAGCUAGUUGGUGGGGUAAAGGCUCACCAAGGCGACGAUCCGUAACUGGUCUGAGAGGAUGAUCAGUCACACUGGAACUGAGACACGGUCCAGACUCCUACGGGAGGCAGCAGUGGGGAAUAUUGGACAAUGGGCGAAAGCCUGAUCCAGCCAUGCCGCGUGUGUGAAGAAGGCCUUUUGGUUGUAAAGCACUUUAAGCGAGGAGGAGGCUACUAGUAUUAAUACUACUGGAUAGUGGACGUUACUCGCAGAAUAAGCACCGGCUAACUCUGUGCCAGCAGCCGCGGUAAUACAGAGGGUGCGAGCGUUAAUCGGAUUUACUGGGCGUAAAGCGUGCGUAGGUGGCCAAUUAAGUCAAAUGUGAAAUCCCCGAGCUUAACUUGGGAAUUGCAUUCGAUACUGGUUGGCUAGAGUAUGGGAGAGGAUGGUAGAAUUCCAGGUGUAGCGGUGAAAUGCGUAGAGAUCUGGAGG